UUAAGUUAUUAAGGGCGCACGGUGGAUGCCUUGGCACUAGAAGCCGAUGAAGGACGUUACUAACGACGAUAUGCUUUGGGGAGCUGUAAGUAAGCUUUGAUCCAGAGAUUUCCGAAUGGGGAAACCCAGCAUGAGUUAUGUCAUGUUAUCGAUAUGUGAAUACAUAGCAUAUCAGAAGGCACACCCGGAGAACUGAAACAUCUUAGUACCCGGAGGAAGAGAAAGAAAAUUCGAUUCCCUUAGUAGCGGCGAGCGAAACGGGAAGAGCCCAAACCAACAAGCUUGCUUGUUGGGGUUGUAGGACACUCUAUACGGAGUUACAAAGGACGACAUUAGACGAAUCAUCUGGAAAGAUGAAUCAAAGAAGGUAAUAAUCCUGUAGUCGAAAAUGUUGUCUCUCUUGAGUGGAUCCUGAGUACGACGGAGCACGUGAAAUUCCGUCGGAAUCUGGGAGGACCAUCUCCUAAGGCUAAAUACUCUCUAGUGACCGAUAGUGAACCAGUACCGUGAGGGAAAGGUGAAAAGCACCCCGGAAGGGGAGUGAAAUAGAACCUGAAACCGUGUGCUUACAAGUAGUCAGAGCCCGUUAAUGGGUGAUGGCGUGCCUUUUGUAGAAUGAACCGGCGAGUUACGAUUUGAUGCAAGGUUAAGCAGUAAAUGUGGAGCCGUAGCGAAAGCGAGUCUGAAUAGGGCGUUUAGUAUUUGGUCGUAGACCCGAAACCAGGUGAUCUACCCUUGGUCAGGUUGAAGUUCAGGUAACACUGAAUGGAGGACCGAACCGACUUACGUUGAAAAGUGAGCGGAUGAACUGAGGGUAGCGGAGAAAUUCCAAUCGAACCUGGAGAUAGCUGGUUCUCUCCGAAAUAGCUUUAGGGCUAGCCUCAAGUGAUGAUUAUUGGAGGUAGAGCACUGUUUGGACGAGGGGCCCCUCUCGGGUUACCGAAUUCAGACAAACUCCGAAUGCCAAUUAAUUUAACUUGGGAGUCAGAACAUGGGUGAUAAGGUCCGUGUUCGAAAGGGAAACAGCCCAGACCACCAGCUAAGGUCCCAAAAUAUAUGUUAAGUGGAAAAGGAUGUGGCGUUGCCCAGACAACUAGGAUGUUGGCUUAGAAGCAGCCAUCAUUUAAAGAGUGCGUAAUAGCUCACUAGUCGAGUGACACUGCGCCGAAAAUGUACCGGGGCUAAACAUAUUACCGAAGCUGUGGAUUGUCCUUUGGACAAUGGUAGGAGAGCGUUCUAAGGGCGUUGAAGCAUGAUCGUAAGGACAUGUGGAGCGCUUAGAAGUGAGAAUGCCGGUGUGAGUAGCGAAAGACGGGUGAGAAUCCCGUCCACCGAUUGACUAAGGUUUCCAGAGGAAGGCUCGUCCGCUCUGGGUUAGUCGGGUCCUAAGCUGAGGCCGACAGGCGUAGGCGAUGGAUAACAGGUUGAUAUUCCUGUACCACCUAUAAUCGUUUUAAUCGAUGGGGGGACGCAGUAGGAUAGGCGAAGCGUGCGAUUGGAUUGCACGUCUAAGCAGUAAGACUGAGUAUUAGGCAAAUCCGGUACUCGUUAAGGCUGAGCUGUGAUGGGGAGAAGACAUUGAGUCUUCGAGUCGUUGAUUUCACACUGCCGAGAAAAGCCUCUAGAUAGAAAAUAGGUGCCCGUACCGCAAACCGACACAGGUAGUCAAGAUGAGAAUUCUAAGGUGAGCGAGCGAACUCUCGUUAAGGAACUCGGCAAAAUGACCCCGUAACUUCGGGAGAAGGGGUGCUCUUUAGGGUUAACGCCCAGAAGAGCCGCAGUGAAUAGGCCCAAGCGACUGUUUAUCAAAAACACAGGUCUCUGCUAAACCGUAAGGUGAUGUAUAGGGGCUGACGCCUGCCCGGUGCUGGAAGGUUAAGAGGAGUGGUUAGCUUCUGCGAAGCUACGAAUCGAAGCCCCAGUAAACGGCGGCCGUAACUAUAACGGUCCUAAGGUAGCGAAAUUCCUUGUCGGGUAAGUUCCGACCCGCACGAAAGGCGUAACGAUUUGGGCACUGUCUCAACGAGAGACUCGGUGAAAUCAUAGUACCUGUGAAGAUGCAGGUUACCCGCGACAGGACGGAAAGACCCCGUGGAGCUUUACUGUAGCCUGAUAUUGAAAUUCGGCACAGCUUGUACAGGAUAGGUAGGAGCCUUUGAAACGUGAGCGCUAGCUUACGUGGAGGCGCUGGUGGGAUACUACCCUAGCUGUGUUGGCUUUCUAACCCGCACCACUUAUCGUGGUGGGAGACAGUGUCAGGCGGGCAGUUUGACUGGGGCGGUCGCCUCCUAAAAGGUAACGGAGGCGCUCAAAGGUUCCCUCAGAAUGGUUGGAAAUCAUUCAUAGAGUGUAAAGGCAUAAGGGAGCUUGACUGCGAGACCUACAAGUCGAGCAGGGUCGAAAGACGGACUUAGUGAUCCGGUGGUUCCGCAUGGAAGGGCCAUCGCUCAACGGAUAAAAGCUACCCCGGGGAUAACAGGCUUAUCUCCCCCAAGAGUUCACAUCGACGGGGAGGUUUGGCACCUCGAUGUCGGCUCAUCGCAUCCUGGGGCUGUAGUCGGUCCCAAGGGUUGGGCUGUUCGCCCAUUAAAGCGGUACGCGAGCUGGGUUCAGAACGUCGUGAGACAGUUCGGUCCCUAUCCGUCGUGGGCGUAGGAAAUUUGAGAGGAGCUGUCCUUAGUACGAGAGGACCGGGAUGGACAUACCUCUGGUGUACCAGUUGUCGUGCCAACGGCAUAGCUGGGUAGCUAUGUGUGGACGGGAUAAGUGCUGAAAGCAUCUAAGCAUGAAGCCCCCCUCAAGAUGAGAUUUCCCAACUUCGGUUAUAAGAUCCCUCAAAGAUGAUGAGGUUAAUAGGUUCGAGGUGGAAGCAUGGUGACAUGUGGAGCUGACGAAUACUAAUCGAUCGAAGACUUAAUCAA
rnacentral:rRNA from 2 species